AUCCAGCUGACGAGUUCAAUAUGAGACGAAACGCGCUUCCUAGAU
rnacentral:hammerhead_ribozyme from 1 species